CAGAGAAGUCAUUGAAUUCACCAUCAAGAGUUGCCCCAAAUAAACUUUCCACACUGCCAGUUAAGUCAGUGCUAAGGAAUAAGCAGGUUUCCCAAAGCAACAAUGAGACUAUAAAAGCCUAAGACCUAAUGGAAAGCAAUCUUUAAAAAACCAAAUUGUUCUGUUUUUGACCCAGGGUUUCUCUGUGCAGCCCUGGCUGUCCUGGAACUCACUCUGUAGACCAGGCUGGUCUCGAACUCAGACCCACUGGUCUCUGCCUCCUGAGUGCUAUACCACUGGGCAGUGGUGGCGCACGCCUUUAAACCCAGCACUUAGGAGGCAGAAGCAGGCGAGUCUCUAAGUUCGAGGCCAGCCAGGUCUACAAGAGUUAGUUUCCAGGACAGGCUCCAAAGCUACAGAGAAACCCUGUCUUGAUAAAACAAAACAAAGAGAUACUCCUGCAGGUUCCACAAACCCUAAACCAUGUAGCCAUUAAUGGGUCUUCCACCACAGUGUGGCCUUAUUGGGAUCUUUAUAAUUGCCCCAAUCAAGCCCUACUUGAGUUUCAAAUGAUACUAUUUGGCAAGCACUAAUUUGGGCCUAAAUAGACUGCUAGAUUUAAGUACCUAAUGUUUAAUAUUUAUGGAAAUGGAAAAAGAAAUCAUAGGAAAAGUAUAACUACUAAGAUUCAAUGAGACGACACAGAGCUACAGAGCACCUCUAAUUAAUUAUAUUAUAGAUGUCAAAGCAGAAUAACUUCCAGAUCUACUUACACACCCAGAACCAAACAGUUGAGGCCUAAGAAGAGGGUAAUGCCAGGCCUGCUACACGAAGUAGCCUUACGCUGCUGAGACCAAGAAUGACACAGACACAACUGUGCUCCAGAGACACAGGCAGCACAGGGCCUGACCACAGAGACAGCAGAUUUGCAAGAGGUCAGAGGUCAAGACAAAGGUGCAUUGGGAAUCCCCGGCUAGAGGACACACGUAUCAGCUGCUAUUUAACCCUACAUUUGCUGGAGUGGAUUCCUGGCUUGGCCUUUACAUUUAUUUAGUGAGUGUGUGUGUACAAGGGCAGGGAAGUCACGGAACAACUUGCAGGUGAUGGAGGUGGGUCUUGUAUCUUAUCUGUUGAUUUCAUUGGUUAAUAAUAAAGAAACUGCCUCGGCCCUCAUAGGACAGAAAAUUAGGUAGGCGGAGUAGACAGAGGAGAAUGCUGGGAAAAAGAAGCUGAGUGAGUGAGUCGCCAUGAUGCUCCCACUCCAGUCAGACGCAGGUUAAGAUCCUCCCUGGCGCCCCCAUCUCCAGUGCGGACCAGCACUUGUCUCUCAAGUCUCGGGUUAGAAGCAUGGUGCUCUUGGUGCUGCUGUUUUGAGACAGCGUCUCACUGUAUUGCGCUUGCUAGCCUGGAACACCAUAGUGAGCCUUCGUCACGAGAAACUGUUCUCAGAAUCCCACGACAAUCGCGCCUUCCUCUAACUUAUGUUCCACCCAGGCUGCACUGCGCCUGAGACUUUACCUGACUGGGACACUCUGGAGUCUUCC